CGGCGGUUUCGGCUCCUGAACUGGAGUUUCCAUCUCUUUCUCAUCAUCUUUAUCAUCAUCAUCAGUUUGUCCAUGGGUGCUUUCUUCAAUGGCUUCCAAGUGAGCAGCUCUUUCUGCACAUCAAACAGGUUGAAGUUGAAUUAAUUAUUUUUAUGAUAACUCUUGAUAUAAAUAUAAUUGUAAGUUGUAGCUUACUGCUCUUUGAUCUACCCGCGGAUGGAGUAGUAGGAACCGACAGUGAUGCAGUGGAAACAGCAAUGUCGGAAGCAAGACGAGUCAUCUCGACGGACCUAUCGAAAUUCACCGGGGGAUUCUCAACUUUGAUCCUAAAAGCAAUCAAAGCAUCCAUUUGUUUGUUCAAAACAUUUGCUUCUUUCAUCACUUCCUCCACCUUAUCCUUAUAAAAUUUGUUCACUUUGUUCAGCUCAUCAUCAAGCCUUCUAAAGUAAACCAGC
rnacentral:lncRNA from 1 species